AUUGAACGCUGGCGGCAUGCCUAACACAUGCAAGUCGAGCGGAAACGGGCCGUCGGGUGCCGACGAGUGGCGCAGGGGGGCGGAAGAGAACGGAACGUGUCCCAUCGUGGGGGGUAACGGGUCGAAAGGGGUGCUCAUACCGCAUACGAGCUAAGAUUGAGAACAGGGGGGCUCAAGGGCGAGCGCGGGCUGAGCGGACCCUGGCAGAUUAGGUAGUUGGUGGGAUAAAAGCUUACCAAGCCGACGAUCUGUAGCGGGUCUGAGAGGAUGAGAACCCACACUGGAACUGAGACACGGCCCAGACUCCUACGGGAGGCAGCAGUGGGGAAUUUUGGACAAUGGGCGCAAGCCUGAUCCAGCCAUGCCGCGUGAAUGAUGAAGGUCUUCGGGUUGUAAACUGCUUUUAUACGGGACGAAAAGCCUUCUUUUAAUCCAGGAGCGUCUUGACGGUACCGAAAGAAUAAGCACCGGCUAACUACGUG
rnacentral:rRNA from 1 species